UACGAAGGGGCUAGCGUUGCUCGGAAUCACUGGGCGUAAAGCGCACGUAGGCGGAUUGCUAAGUCAGGGGUGAAAUCCUGGAGCUCAACUCCAGAACUGCCUUUGAUACUGGCGAUCUCGAGUCCGGGAGAGGUGAGUGGAACUGCGAGUGUAGAGGUGAAAUUCGUAGAUAUUCGCAAGAACACCAGUGGCGAAGGCGGCUCACUGGCCCGGUACUGACGCUGAGGUGCGAAAGCGUGGGGAGCAAACAGGG
rnacentral:rRNA from 1 species